UGCAGUCGACGGUGAACACGGAGCUUGCUCUGUGGGAUCAGUGGCGAACGGGUGAGUAACACGUGAGCAACCUGCCCCUGACUCUGGGAUAAGCGCUGGAAACGGCGUCUAAUACUGGAUAUGUGACGUGACCGCAUGGUCUGCGUCUGGAAAGAAUUUCGGUUGGGGAUGGGCUCGCGGCCUAUCAGCUUGUUGGUGAGGUAAUGGCUCACCAAGGCGUCGACGGGUAGCCGGCCUGAGAGGGUGACCGGCCACACUGGGACUGAGACACGGCCCAGACUCCUACGGGAGGCAGCAGUGGGGAAUAUUGCACAAUGGGCGCAAGCCUGAUGCAGCAACGCCGCGUGAGGGACGACGGCCUUCGGGUUGUAAACCUCUUUUAGCAGGGAAGAAGCGAAAGUGACGGUACCUGCAGAAAAAGCGCCGGCUAACUACGUGCCAGCAGCCGCGGUAAUACGUAGGGCGCAAGCGUUAUCCGGAAUUAUUGGGCGUAAAGAGCUCGUAGGCGGUUUGUCGCGUCUGCUGUG
rnacentral:rRNA from 1 species